rnacentral:rRNA from 1 species
GGCAGUCAGAGGCGAUGAAGGGCGUGCUAAUCUGCGAUAAGCGCCGGUAAGGUGAUAUGAACCGUUAUAACCGGCGAUACCCGAAUGGGGAAACCCAGUGUGAUUCGUCACACUAUCAUUAACUGAAUCCAUAGGUUAAUGAGGCGAACCGGGGGAACUGAAACAUCUAAGUACCCCGAGGAAAAGAAAUCAACCGAGAUUCCCCCAGUAGCGGCGAGCGAACGGGGAGGAGCCCAGAGCCUGAAUCAGCAUGUGUGUUAGUGGAAGCGUCUGGAAAGGCGCGCGAUACAGGGUGACAGCCCCGUACACAAAAGCGCAUGUGCUGUGAGCUCGAUGAGUAGGGCGGGACACGUGGUAUCCUGUCUGAAUAUGGGGGGACCAUCCUCCAAGGCUAAAUACUCCUGACUGACCGAUAGUGAACCAGUACCGUGAGGGAAAGGCGAAAAGAACCCCGGCGAGGGGAGUGAAAAAGAACCUGAAACCGUGU